rnacentral:rRNA from 1 species
AAGAGAGCCGUAACACAGGUGCUGCAUGGCUGUCGUCAGCUCGUGUCGUGAGAUGUUGGGUUAAGUCCCGCGACGAGCGCAACCCUUGUCAUUAGUUGCUACAUUCAGUUGGGCACUCUAAUGAGACUGCCGGUGACAAGCCGGAGGAAGGUGGGGAUGACGUCAAGUCCUCAUGGCCCUUAUAGGUGGGGCUACACACGUCAUACAAUGGCUGGUACAAAGGGUUGCCAACCCGCGAGGGGGGAGCCAAUCCCAUAAAGCCAGUCGUAGUCCGGAUCGUAGUCUGCAACUCGACUACGUGAAGUCGGAAUCGCUAGUAAUCGUGGAUCAGAAUGUCACGGUGAAUACGUUCCCGGGUCUU